UCUACGGGAGGCUGCAGUGAGGAAUAUUGGUCAAUGGGCGAGAGCCUGAACCAGCCAAGUCGCGUGAAGGAUGACGGCCCUACGGGUUGUAAACUUCUUUUGUCAGGGAGCAAUUGAGUCCACGUGUGGUCUUAGCGAGAGUACCUGAAGAAAAAGCAUCGGCUAACUCCGUGCCAGCAGCCGCGGUAAUACGGAAGGUCCGGGCGUUAUCCGGAUUUAUUGGGUUUAAAGGGAGCGUAGGCCGGUCUUUAAGUGUGCCGUGAAAUUUUGUGGCUCAACCAUGAGAGUGCGGCGCGAACUGGAGACCUUGAGUGCGCGGAAGGCAGGCGGAAUUCGUGGUGUAGCGGUGAAAUGCUUAGAGAUCACGAAGAACCCCGAUUGCGAAGGCAGCCUGCCGCAGCGUUACUGACGCUGAAGCGCGAAAGCGCGGGUAUCGAACAGGAUUAGAUACCCUAGUAGUC
rnacentral:rRNA from 1 species